GGGAGGCGGAGAGGGCUGCAAACUCCGCUCCAAUCGCAGCCGGCCCUUCCCGGGUCCCCCCGCCGGCUGACCCGCCCGCUGGACGGAGUUGGAGGAACUUUGCGGCGCCCCGCGUCCCAGCCCCGGGAGGCCGAGCGCUCCCUCCUCCCCAGCCGACCCCUCCCCCCGCCCCUGCCUCCCGGCCCGCGCCCAGCCGGCAGCGCCGGUGAUAGGACGGCCUGGGAGCGCCUUGUGUGUCUGCAAACCGGAGCGGCGCGGCCCGGGCCAGGGCUGCGGAGGGCGCUGCCGUGGGAGCCGCUGCCCUCGCCGGACCCGGCGCUGUCAUGCCCCCGCCGCGCGGCGGGCGGCUGCGUGCCCGAGCCGCUAUAUAAGCGCGGGCAAGGGGACCUCCGCUGGGGCUGAAGAUGAAGGUGCCCGCGCACGGGCUCCCGCUCCUCGCCCAGCCCUGCCGAGCCCGCGCCCCGCACGGAGCCCGCGGCCGCGGAGGACCCGCCUGCGCCGCAGUAGCAGCUGGAGCAGCGACAGAGGCGGCAGCUGCGGCGGCGGCGCGAGCGCACAGAUCGGCGGCGGCAGCUCGGGGACCGCCGCUGCCCCGGCUGCCAUGAGUUGUGCGGAGGUGAUGUAUCACCCCCAGCCGUAUGGAGCGCCCCAGUAUCUGCCCAACCCUGUGGCAGCUGCAACCUGCCCCACAGCCUACUACCACCCGUCGCCCCAACCUGGCCAGCAGAAAAAGUUAGCGGUAUACAGCAAGAUGCAGGACUCUCUGGAAGUCACCCUUCCCAGCAAACAAGAGGAGGAGGAGGAGGAGGAUGAGGAGGAGGAGGAGGAGGAGAAAGACCAGCCUGCCGAGAUGGAGUACCUUAACUCUCGCUGUGUCCUUUUCACUUAUUUCCAGGGAGACAUUGGGUCAGUAGUGGAUGAACACUUCUCAAGAGCUUUGGGCCAAGCCAGCACCCUCCAUCCAGAAUCUGCCAUUACAAAAAGCAAGAUGGGGCUAACCCCCCUAUGGCGAGACAGCUCAGCUCUCGCAAGUCAGAGGAGUAGCUUCCCGACUUCCUUUUGGACCAGCUCUUACCAGCCCCCUGCACCCUGUUUGGGGGGAGUUCAUCCUGAUUUCCAGGUCACUGCACCCCCUGGCACCUUUACCACAGCCGACCCCAGUCCCUGGCCGGGACAUGGCCUGCACCAGACUGGCCCAGCCCCUCCCCCUCCUGUGUCUGAGUCUUGGCACUACCCUUUGGCAUCUCAGGUGAGCCCAUCCUACAGCCACAUGCAUGAUGUGUACCUGCGGCACCACCACCCCCACGCUCACAUGCACCACCGGCACCACCACCACCACCAUCACCACCACCACCCUUCUGCUGGCUCUGCCCCGGAUUCACCCUACGGGCCCCUGCUGAUGCCAUCAGUGCGAGCAGCCAGGAUCCCUGCUCCCCAGUGUGACGUCACAAAGGCAGAUCCGACGACAGUCAGCACUGCUACCUCAGCGUGGGCCGGAGCCUUCCACGGAACUGUGGGCAUAGUGCCAAGUGCGGGGUUUGAUGCAGGGGAAAAAAGACACUCAAACCACUUGAUGAUUCCAACACUAUUCAUGACUUGCGGUGCUGACAUUCUAUAGAUUGAUGGAGUCUUCAAGUGUGGAAAUACUGAGUCAUACGGAAGAUGAGACGUUUUAAUAAUGAAAAAAAUAUUUAUGCAGUCAGCAGAUUGUCAGCUAAGGUGGUUUAGAUUAUAAGAGUCACCCAACAGAGACUAUGGUCUACAGCACCAAGACAAGAGCAAGGAAUCACCAUGGUACUGAAACACACAGUAUUAAUAAGUCAGAUUGGAGCAUGAAUCCCGGGCCCACUGGGAAUAGAUGCUGCCAGGAUUUUCCAUUCUGCGAUUGGCACAAUAGACAUGGAAGGAGAAGAGGAGUGUCAGCCAGCUGACUUUGCAUUGGAGCCUUUUCUUGAGAAAGCAGAGUGGGUCCUAGACAUUGAAGAAAAGCAUUUUUGUUUAUUUUUCCCCUCAUCUGAGCCUUUGCCAACUGUGCAACUCUUUUUAUCUUAUUUUAUUUUAUUUUGUUUUUUUAUCUCAAUACAUGGUUUAAUUUUUGUUUCAUUUUGAUUUUUUUUUUUAACCAACCACCUUGUCAGGAAAAGAUGAAUCACAAAUGAAUAUGCUCAUUCUUUCAGGAAUAAAAUUUUAUAGCUCUAUGUGCAUCUAUUUUUGUAGAAAUACAGAAAGUUUGAUUUAGCAUUGAUGGGCUAUUUUUGAGGGAUGUAUUUUUUUUAAUAUUGUAAAAAUUGUUUAAGUUCUGUUUAAAGAACUUGCUCUCAGAGAAGCACUGGCAAAAAAAAAAAUGUUUAAAAUGCUUGUCUUUUAAGAUGUCUGUGAUAAGCUCUGUGCUUUCUAGGUUACCUCAAGUGUCUGAUAGUUUAUCCCUUUUUACAAAAGUAACACCGUAGCCAAGCCAAUGUAGUGCUGUAUCACAUUAAAUCUCAGUGAAGAUUGAAUUCCAUGCUACCUUACUUUGCUUUGAGUAAUAUGUAUAGCUUGAAAAAGAAGUUUUUUAAUGAACAUACUAAGGAAAGAAUAUUUGAUUACUUCGAUUUCUCCCAAUCAGUACUUGUAGCUUGAUUUAAAAAGUUUUACAUAAACCUGCAAUCAGAUGAAGAGUUUGCAUAGAAUAUGUAAUUCUCUUUCUAGUCCAUCUGAGUUUGAUAAAUGGAACCUGAGGUUAUAUCCAACUACUGGAAAAAAGUGCAUUUAAUCAUGCUACCUUGGAGUGCCAGUGACUUAUUUUUCUCAUUCCUAAUUCAUAGCAAUUUUUAAGGUCACAUAUUAAGUGGAGUUCUUUUCCUGAACAUAGUUUGAAGGGAUACUAUUUGAGAAAGUACUAGGCAUAUUACAAAGCCUUUAAUUCAAUGACUCUUUCUGAUCAUGUUACCUAUCAUUGUGAAUUGAAAACUAAUGUAGUGUAUGUGCAAUAUUUUAAACAUAGGUUUUUGCAAGUUUUUUUUUUGAAAUCUGGGUUUAGAUGAUUUAAUUCUUUAUAAGAAAGACACUUAGAGCAAAAUUAAAUUUCAAUUUGAAUUUAUACCACAAUUACUGAAAUUGGGUUAACAAUUUGAUAAUUUGUUAUUUAAAAUUUAUUUUUGAAAACCCCAAUUCAAAUUGAUUGGCCAUCAGAAUGUAAAUAAGGUUAAGUUGGAAUUAUCAAGACCCUUCUAGAAAAAGAUUAUGAAAGUAGCAGUUAAUGAUAGUUUAAGGACUUUUAAUGCAAAGUCCAUUCUUUUUUCCAGGUCUUUUCAGAGAUGGGUCAUGUUAAAAAGUUAAUGUUGUAGAGAAGUUUUUUGUUUGGUAAAAAAAAAAAAAAUCAAAUUUUUUCCAUCCCUGUCUUCACCCAUGUGAAAUACAAUAUUUAGUGAAAGACCACUUUUCAUCUUAAAGUGUGUAUAUUAUGUAUGUGAACAUUUUAGAUAUAAGAACAACAAAACCUCUGCUUAGCUAGGCAGAGUUCUCACAGAUAAUUUUCAAAUAUGUUCCUUAGCUGUGUUUCAUGUACUAGUUUUCUUUCCUGGAGCAUCUCAUGAGCUAUACACUGUCUUGUGGUAUUCUUAUCACUCCAUCCAUUGCUUUUUCUUAGCCAGACUCUCCUUAGCACAAUGUGCACAUUGUUACCUAAUGUGAGGUCCAAACUUAAGGUAUCUUCCACUUACUAAUGACAUGAACUUAGAUUUUUAGGGCCUGGCUUAGUUAAAUGAUCUACAUUUUGAUUUACAAUUUGAUAUAUUACAGUUGUUAGUAAUUUUGCCAAAAUCUGUGGAGCAGAGUUGAAUGUAUCUAUAAAAUUGGUUUCAUUUGUGUCCUCCUGAGUUUUCAAAGACAAAUAUUUGGUAUUCCCAUGGGAAGACUCACUGGGGAUUAUUUAUUUUUCUCUUCUUCCCUUGGAAGUUCCUUUUCAGUGUCUCUGAGGAUGGUAUGGUAUACCAACUCAUCUAAAUCAUUCAAUUGGAUUUUCCCAGUUACGAGAAGAAAAGUAUUAACUUUCUGCUCUUUCCUUAUUCGCCACUGAAUUGAAUUGAAGGAGAGAGAGCAAUUAGAUAGCUUCACUCUAAAUUGAGACUGUGUUCUGUGUCACUCCUGGCCACCAUAGGAUAAAAUAUUCCUUGGCUCUGGGGGCCUAAGAAGAGUUGGAGACCUAAAUUCUGCUGUACACGUGAAAGAUUUGUAAGUGAGAAGGGGCCUCGGUGGUGUUGGCACAGUAAGGAUUAGAUUUUUGCAUAUGCAAGGAGUGGAUCCAAUCUAAGUGAAAAAAGAAUGAGUGCAUGUCUACAAUUGUCUGGCACCCCUUACUAUGAUCACAUUAUCAUUACCAGCAGAAGUUAUAAAAAGAUCAGUUGUAAUUUAGCAUGGUAUUCUGAAUUUAUUUUAGGUUUAAAAUGCUAGCAUACUCUGGGUCUGGUUUGCUAACAUCAAAAUGAUGCAGUUGAACUUAGAGUCUUCCAAACUGCUUUAUUGAAGGCUGCCACCUCCUUCCUCAAUUUCACAUGGAACCACUCUAUCUUUGACUAUUUUAGAAAUCACUCAAGCUUUCUAAAAAUCUAUGAACUAGCCCCUAGAAAAAUGAUCUGAUUUAGUUGACAUCUAGUCUAUUCUUUCACCUAAACUAUCAUGAGCUAAGGAACAACAUAAUAGUGACAAGUUGAUCCUAACAGGUUAUCGGUCCCUCAUUGUUUAUUUGAAAAGAGUGCUAAACUUUUUAAAAAUCAGUGUUUCUUCUUAAGAAGGUUAACCAUCCACUCCUCUAUUUUUUCUUCUUUCUCAUUCCUCUUAAAAUUACAAUAUUAUUUUAAGCAAAAGUGGCCAGGAUUGUUUUGAAUUUUGCAAAUGAGAACUAGUGGAUGACAAAUGAUUGAGGAAUUAAUUUCUUUAACUUUAUAAGAAACUUUAAAAACAACACAUCCCAGGCAUUGGAUUAAAUGUGCCAUUGAGAAACUCAUUCAUUAUGCACAUAGUAUUUGCCCAUUCCUACUCUAAGUGAGACCUAUAGAAUACAUGACAGAAUCUAUCUCACUUUUACAUUUACUGUCUGGUUUAAUGUUACAUUUGUAAUUUAAAGGGGCAAUCAGAAACUAUAUUUCAAGAAACUGCAUUCUAUUUCUUUCAGAGUGUCCCUUUGUUAGAUAAUAUUUGCUGAAUUAAGUCAAUGGGGCAGUGGCAUUAACUGUAGAAAAGGAAAGAAUUUAUGUUAGCGUUCUGAUGGGGAUAUGAAUUGAGAAGUAGAAUGAAUUAAUGGAAAAGUGCAUUGUGUUGGGCAUUAGGUAAUUCUCUGAAUUCUGGCUUAACCACAAUUAGAUAUAUGUGAUUUGGGAGUUUAUUUAUUUAUCUCAUGAGUAAAGUGGGAUAAUAAUACCUACUGGCAGGCUGUGAAGAUUGAAAAUCAUAUAUAUGUAUAUAAAAUCCAUCAUCAGCUCAUAGUAGAUGUUCAAUAAAUAGCAGCUAUCACUCAUGUCUAUCAGUUGAGUAAGUAGGUCAUAAAACUGAGCUCCCAAAUGUCCUCUCUACUUCCCAUACCCAUUUCUGCAGCAGUAGAUAUAUUACUGUGCUUUUCCAUAACAAAUUAAUGCAAGAGAAUCUUUGCCUUCUACUAGGUGUUGAAGAUAAAAUGUAAAAUUCUUAAUUAUCUCUAAUUUUUGAGUGUACCAUUUAUGAAGGAAAAUAACCUCUUAGUGGUAUCUAGGUUCAACUCCGAGUUUUCUUACUUAUUCCAACAUUGGAUUCAUCUAGGACCCUGUGUAUUAUUUUCUCCAAAAUUAAGGCAACAGGUUUAUUAAAUCAUCAAAGUUAUUGUUUUUCAGUUAUAUUUGGGGCUUCCUUGGCACCUGGAAUAAAAACAUCUUUUUUGAAGUUAUUCAUUUUUUUUUUCUACUUGCCAUGGAGGAAAAACUGCAAAAUACGGUGGAAAAAAAUUGUCUGCAUGUGAAAGGGAGAAAAAAGGAAAAAACAGAACCCUUUAAGAUCUCAGUCAGCAGAUUUACUCUGCUUGAGAAAAAAAGAAACAACUUUAUUGGAAGCAGAUGUUGACACUGUGUCGGUUAUUGAAGAUGGAAAGAGUUCAGUUGAACCAUUGCAGUUACAAAGGGGUAUUGAUGGCAGUUAGAAUUCCUGUGAUUGAUCACCUUCACAACAGACAGAAGGACAGCAGAAAGCAGAAACUUUGGGACCAAGACUGUAAUCAGCCGCCAAUUUUAAUAUGCAGGACCUAAGGAUGCAGUUUUGUUUUGUUUUAUUCUUUCAUCCAGGACAAAAGACACAUCUUUGAGAAAAUGUAAGCCUUGUUUGAGAGAGAAAUUAAAAUGUAUUUCCUAAAAUCUUGGCCCAAGAACCAUUUAGUAUUAAAGCAUUAAAACUAUUAUUAAAGUUGUUUUAGAAAAAUUAGGUUAAAGUUUUUGUUCAGUGAUGUAUAUUGUAAGUGAAUCUGUAAACUACACAAAGGUGGAUGACUCUGGAGAUUGGGGUACGGGUGGGGCCUGCAAGGAGACCUGAGUCUCAAUAGCCUCAAAAUGUUAAUUACCUUAGUAACUUGGUCACAGAACAGACUUUCAGAAUUUUUCUGUAGGUUUUUCUUUCUUUUAGUGUUCUCUGGGAAUAUUACGUAUACACUUUUCCAAGGUAUAGAAAUAGUCAUUAUUAUUAAACUAUCAUACUUUUCUUAUUUCUUUUAUUGUCCAUUGUGCUUUCUUUUUGUUUGUGUGAAAAUAUUUUUAUAGUUUCAAAUAAUUGAUCAAACUAUUUAUCUUGAAAUUGCAAAUGAAUUAGUCCAAUAAGUUUACCUAUCACCCUUUUAAAAUUCCAAGAAAUAGUAAGUGUAACUUGCCAAUUCCAUUGUAUAAGUAAACAAUGACACUUUCUAGAAAAGUGCAGGUCGCCAUCAAUUAGCUUUCUUUCAAACUGUUUCUGGACUACUAAAUUUUGAUUUAAGAAUAGUUCUUUUACUAUAUAAGAUUCUUUAUUUAGCUUUUUUGGUAUAUGCGUAAGAUGUGAACUUUUAAAAUGAUAUCUCUUUAUACUAAUAGAGAUGUACAUUUUUUCCUAUCCUGUGGCAAGGGCAAAAAUUAAUGAUUAUUUACAUACUUGAUUUAAUUUCUUAGGCUAUUUACAAUCUUGGAUAUUAUAUUUGAUUUCAAAAUACUAUUCCAUAUAUUUUAACGAAUUAACAACAUAGGGAAGGAUUUUCAUGUGAAUUAUUUGUAUCAUUUUAAAGUGCAUAUAUUGAAAGGAAAACACAGAUUUAAUUUUGUUUUCAUCAUAUAAAUCUAAGUAAGAUGUACUUUUGUAAAAAAAUACAUAGCAUGUUAAACUUAUAUUUGUUACUUGGUUAGGUAAACUGAAAAUUAAUGCUAGUAGUAUCUCACAAUCUUGAAAUACAGUCAAAUUCCAGAUUUGUUAGUUUUAUGAGCAAUUUUAUGCUAUCUUAAUUUUACAUUUCCAGAAAGAUAAAUGAAUCUUAGCUAUAUUGUCAUUCUUAAUUUACAAAAAAUAGAUGUAAUCCAUAAAAUUUUUGGCUUUAAAACUAAUUAUAAAAUCAUAUUUUCCCCCUGUUUUUCUUGGGGUUGGGGAAAGAGGCAUUUUCGUAUUUCUAUUCACUUUUCAAAUGCAGGUCUCAUAACUAUGUGUUGAUGAUAUAAAAUAAUGGAGGACUUUGUAAUAAAAAUAAAUGUCUUCAAUUUGUUCAAUAAAUAAUUUAAUGUGAA